GGUGAAUCUCAAGCUGGGAAAUCCGGAAAACAUAUAAGGAGAAGAGAGAAGUGGGGCUCCUGCAGGUCUGGAAGCGAUGAGUAAGAAGAAAAGGGGGUAAAGGAAUCGAGGCUAAUGGACACCUGUACCAUACAACCGGGGACAUAAAUUUGUUUUCCAUCCUCAUCUGGGGCUCCUUAUUUUCCAACUCCCCCAACCACCUCGAGCUCAGGGGCGUAGAAAGAAGAGGAGAUCGACCCUGCCAGGCGCUAGCCAGGGCAAGCAGUGAAGGAGUUAAGGCAGGAUUGGGGGAAGGCCGACCGGCAGAAGGGAGCAUGUGCAGUCUGCAACCGCUUCCAUACUAUGGGUGAGUGCCACUGGUACAUUGAAAUCUUCAGCCACGGCCGCAAUUGCCCUCGCGCUAUCCAGGCAUCUUCCUAAGCAGGAGAAGACAAUGCGGGUGUGAGUGGCAGAACAGAGAGGCGCAGAGCAGACACGACCCAGAGCGAGCCAGUGCGCGCCCCGGAGGGCUGCCGUGGGGGUGGGGAGGAGGCGGAGGAGGCGAGCGCUCCAGCCCGGGGAGGAGGAGGACGCACAGAGGAGCUGAGAGCUAGCUCCUGGGCAGCACCUGAAGCGGACGGCUGGCCCGGCGGGCCCCAUGCCCCCGCACCAGUGAUCUCAGUUUCUGGUCCCCGCACUGAGUUAGCACCAGAACUGGGAAAAGCAGCCAAGCCCUGUCUCACAUGAAAAGGAUGAUCAGGACAGCUCAGCUGCUGCCUAAUGGACUCUCUGCAUAAGAGAUUAUUGACGAAGAACAGGUGAAAUGUCUCUUUACAGUAACACAUGCCUUGCUUUCCCGGUGGACAGCCAGAGAGCUAAUUAGGGAACACGACAGCUGUCCAGCCUUUCAGUGGAGGAUCAACAAUGUACCACCUCCUGAGUGCCAAAGGACCGGGAUGGAAGUAGGAGAAAAAGAGGGAGUGGAGUUAAGGGGCCAUAAUCCAAGGGGCUGAUUUAUUUCCCAAAGGGGACAUUUGGGUUUGUCAUGUUUUGCAGAAUGGAGGAAGGGGAAGAGAAAGGGGAGGUGUGGAUUGAUGAGAGUGCAGGAUGACAAAGCAAGGAAGUUGGGAGACUAAAGGCAGGAAAAAGGAGGAGAGGUAUUGAGGAGUUAGUGUCAUCUUGGUUCUCAGACUAAAAAGCAUAUGGUAGAAUGGAAGAGCCAGGUGUCUGAAGAAUGGGGGGAUGAGCAGUCAGCCAGGAAGGAGAAUGAUGAGGCAGAGUAGAGAGUCUGCUUCUCAUUCCCUGCAGACCUUCCCUCCUCCAGCUAAGAUCUCAUAGGGCCCAACAUUAUACAUUUGUAUUUCCUCUUAUCAUGCCACCAGAAGGGACCAACAGGAACAGAGACACUGUGCCCCUAGUGAAAAAUGUAUUUUUAGCUGGACCUGUCCAAUCUUAGCUUUUGUUAGUUAUAAAAUACAUGCAGCACUUUUUUUUUGUAAUACAGAACUGAAAACAACAUAGUAUUCCAUCAAUUAGGGAAUAGCUGAAUAAAUUGUGGCAUGUGAAUGUAAUGGAAUAUUAU
rnacentral:lncRNA from 1 species